GCCCCUGUGGCGGAAUUGGUAGACGCGAACGACUCAAAAUCGUUUUUCUACGGAAGUGCCGGUUCGAGUCCGGCCAGGGGCACCA
rnacentral:tRNA from 1 species